rnacentral:rRNA from 1 species
UACAGAGGUCCCAAGCGUUGUUCGGAUUCACUGGGCGUAAAGGGUGCGUAGGUGGUGAGGUAAGUCGGAUGUGAAAUCUCCAAGCUCAACUUGGAAACUGCAUUGGAAACUACCUUGCUAGAGGAUUUGAGGGGGGAUUGGAAUACUUGGUGUAGCAGUGAAAUGCGUAGAUAUCAGGAGGAACACCGAUUGCGAAGGCAGCUCGCUGGGACGUUACUGACGCUGAGACGCGAAAGCGUGGGGAGCAAACAGG